ACGGAGCUUGCUCUGGUGGCGAGUGGCGAACGGGUGAGUAAUAUAUCGGAACGUACCCUAGAGUGGGGGAUAACGUAGCGAAAGUUACGCUAAUACCGCAUACGAUCUAAGGAUGAAAGUGGGGGAUCGCAAGACCUCAUGCUCGUGGAGCGGCCGAUAUCUGAUUAGCUAGUUGGUAGGGUAAAAGCCUACCAAGGCAUCGAUCAGUAGCUGGUCUGAGAGGACGACCAGCCACACUGGAACUGAGACACGGUCCAGACUCCUACGGGAGGCAGCAGUGGGGAAUUUUGGACAAUGGGCGAAAGCCUGAUCCAGCAAUGCCGCGUGAGUGAAGAAGGCCUUCGGGUUGUAAAGCUCUUUUGUCAGGAAGAAACGGUGAGAGCUAAUAUCUCUUGCUAAUGACGGUACCUGAAGAAUAAGCACCGGCUAACUACGUGCCAGCAGCCGCGCGUAAUACUGUAUCGUGUGCAAGGCGUUCAUCGGAAUUACUGGGCGUAUAAGCGUGCGCAGGCUGGUUUUGUAAUGUCUGAUGUUAAAUCCCCGGGUCUCUAACCUGUGAAUUUGCAUUUGGAGACUGCUAAGCUAGAAUCUGGCAGAGGGGGGUAGAAGUUCCACGUUGUAGCAUUGAAAUGCGUAGAUUUUUGUGAGGAACACCGAUUGCUAAUGCAGCCCCUUGGGUCCAGUAUUGACGCUCGUGUCAUCGUAAAUGCGUUGUGUGGAGCCCACCAGGAUUACGAUACCCUGGUAUUCCACGCCCUAAAACGA
rnacentral:rRNA from 1 species